GCUCAGUCGGUAGAGCAUCAGACUU
rnacentral:piRNA from 5 species